CCUACGGGUGGCAGCAGUGAGGAAUAUUGGUCAAUGGACGAGAGGCUGAACCAGCCAAGUAGCGUGAAGGAUGACUGCCCUAUGGGUUGUAAACUUCUUUUAUAUGGGAAUAAAAUGUUCCACGUGUGGGAUUUUGUAUGUACCAUAUGAAUAAGGAUCGGCUAACUCCGUGCCAGCAGCCGCGGUAAUACGGAGGAUCCGAGCGUUAUCCGGAUUUAUUGGGUUUAAAGGGAGCGUAGGGGGAUUGUUAAGUCCGUGGUGAAAGUUUGCGGGUCAAACUCAAAACUGCAGUUGAAACUGGCAGUCUUGAGUACAGGAGAGGUGGGCGGAAUUCGUGGUGUAGCGGUGAAAUGCUUAGAUAUCACGCAGAACUCCGAUUGCGAAGGCAGCUCACUGGAGUGCAACUGACACUGAGGCUCGAAAGUGUGGGUAUCGAACAGGAUUAGAUACCCGAGUAGUC
rnacentral:rRNA from 1 species